UUGCAGCUAACUAAGCCAACCGGGUCUCUUUCCCCAUGGGGGCCUGGUGUGCAAUGGUUGCAAACAGCAGCUUCCUUGGUAGUGUAUGCAGCCUGUUGCCUAUAUAGGUUGCUCUAAGGGACCUUGGAGACAAUU
rnacentral:snoRNA from 1 species